AGAGUUUGAUCCUGGCUCAGAACGAACGCUGGCGGCAUGCUUAACACAUGCAAGUCGAACGAGGGCUUCGGCCCUAGUGGCGAACGGGUGAGUAACGCGUGGGAACCUGCCUUGGAGUGGGGGAUAACCACUGGAAACGGCGGCUAAUACCGCAUGUGCCCUGCGGGGCAAAGGCUUCGGCCGCUUUGAGAGGGGCCCGCGUCCGAUUAGCUAGUUGGUGGGGUAACGGCCUACCAAGGCUGCGAUCGGUAGCUGGUCUGAGAGGAUGAUCAGCCACACUGGGACUGCGACACGGCCCAGACUCCUACGGGAGGCAGCAGUGGGGAAUAUUGGACAAUGGGGGAAACCCUGAUCCAGCAAUGCCGCGUGCGUGACGAAGGCCUUCGGGUUGUAAAGCGCUUUCGCCCGCGACGAUGAUGACGGUAGCGGGAGAAGAAGCCCCGGCUAACUCCGUGCCAGCAGCCGCGGUAAUACGGAGGGGGCUAGCGUUGUUCGGAAUUACUGGGCGUAAAAGGGUGCGUAGGCGGCUAUCCAAGUCAGACGUGAAAGGCCUGGGCUCAACCCGGGAACUGCGUUUGAGACUGGGUGGCUGGAGUCCGGGAGAGGUGAGCGGAAUUCCCAGUGUAGAGGUGAAAUUCGUAGAUAUUGGGAAGAACACCGGUGGCGAAGGCGGCUCACUGGACCGGUACUGACGCUGAGGCACGAAAGCGUGGGGAGCAAACAGGAUUAGAUACCCUAGUAGUCC
rnacentral:rRNA from 1 species